rnacentral:lncRNA from 1 species
GCGGGAGCUCCCAGGAGACCCCGCGCGUGUGACAUUCCCGGCGCAGACUCGAGUGUACGGUUGCGAUCGAACGGGUGGGCCUGGGCCGGCCGGGCCUGGGGCCUUCUGUGUCUGCGCGAUCGCCUCCUGGCAAAGAAGGCCACAUAGUGAGGAGAGGACGGUCCUCAGAAAGAGAGAGACUCGCGCCUGACGGUCAACUGGGCGAGCGGACACCGGGCACAGAAAGGGGCCGUGGGGAAGUCCCAGUAGAUGAAUCAAUUGAACUCGGGUCCUUGCGCUUGCGCAGCAGGUGGCGAAACUGCUGAGCUAAAUCCCCGGCUCCAUCUUUUUUUUAAAUAAACAGGAGAAAAAUUUAUUUAUCAGUGUGUACUUGGGAGUCAUAAAAAAUAAGAAACGCAACUCAAGUGGCUGAAGGGUAAAUAACAUUUGUAGCUCCAGAAAGGGAUUGAGAUUCUGGGGAGAAGUGGUGACUAUUUAUAGGAGAUUCAAGGGAGUAACUGCUUGAGAAGCAAAGGCUAAUUUGCUAUGAGUAUAAAAUAUCUCAGGUGGCCUGCCAUGGUGGCACACCCCUAUAAUCCUAGCAUUCAGGAGGCUGAGGCAGGAGGAUCACCGUGAAUUCAAGUCCACUCUGGGCUACAUAGUUCAAAGACAAUCUGAAAUGCAU